rnacentral:rRNA from 1 species
GAUGAACGCUGGCGGCGUGCCUAAUACAUGCAAGUCGAGCGAACGGACGAGAAGCUUGCUUCUCUGAUGUUAGCGGCGGACGGGUGAGUAACACGUGGAUAACCUACCUAUAAGACUGGGAUAACUUCGGGAAACCGUAGCUAAUACCGGAUAAUAUUUUGAACCGCAUGGUUCAAAAGUGAAAGACGGUCUUGCUGUCACUUAUAGAUGGAUCCGCGCUGCAUUAGCUAGUUGGUAAGGUAACGGCUUACCAAGGCAACGAUGCAUAUCCGACCUGAGAGGGUGAUCGGCCACACUGGAACUGAGACACGGUCCAGACUCCUACGGGAGGCAGCAGUAGGGAAUCUUCCGCAAUGGGCGAAAGCCUGACGCAGCAACGCCGCGUGAGUGAUGAAGGUCUUCGGAUCGUAAAACUCUGUUAUUAGGGAAGAACAUAUGUGUAAGUAACUGUGCACAUCUUGACGGUACCUAAUCAGAAAGCCACGGCUAACUACGUG